UGGGCGAGAGCCCCCCGUCGGUGCAGAGCUCGGUCACUCUCAUUGGUGAGCGGACGACAGGUGCUCGGCCUUUGGUGUGGGCAGCUGUGCCAUGCACCCCACCCCCGCCCCGCCGGCGUCCCACACACUGGUGUGGGAACUGUUACCUGGGCCGUAGGCCGGCACAGCACAGCGGUGCUCCUGGGAGGGGCAAGCGAGGAAACGGGGUCUGUACGAAUUCCGCUGGUGUCUGAGGCAGGCAAACCCAGCGUGGCUCUGCUGAACCGCGCCGGUGGCCCCUGGGAACCCCGGCCCUCUCCACCAUGCUCCAGUCCUGCCCAAGAGCCACCAUCACCAAUUCCAGACCCUGGCCCAGGCCUUCGGCCAGCUCUGGCCACCAUCCUCUUGGGGAGCAGCCCCGCUGGAGCCCACCUACAGAGAGGCUGCCCCGGGGCUGGGGCGGGCACCCGGGGUGGGCCUCUGGGGCUCACCCUGCGGCCUGGGCCGGGCACGGCCCUCUGGGGCUCACCCUGCGGCCUGGGCUGGGGCGGGCACCAGGGCUGGCCCUCUGAGGCUCACCACAGGCCGCACAGCUGUGAUUUGCUUUUAGCUCCUGCCUGGCCAGGACUUCCCGUGCCACCCAGGCCUUUUGCUUCCCCGCCUCGAAGCGCCCUGUCCCUCUGCUGUGGCACUCCGGCGUCAGUGGCUGUGGCAUCCCUAAAUGGAGCUGCCCAGCCGGGGCCCCUUGCUCUGCAAACGCUCGCCGUCCGUGCCCCAGGCCUGAGCAGCCUGCGGCGAGCAAGCCCUGCCCGCUACCAAGGACGCAAGCAAGGACUUUCCACCAGAACUCUGGUCCUCUGCCUCUCCCUUAUUUUCGUUUUUAAGAUUUAUUUAUUUAUUAAAGACAGAGAGGGGGGGGGAGAGGGAGAGAGGGGUCUUUCACGUGCUGGUUCACUCCCCAGAUGGCUGGAGGAGGACUGGGCCAGGCUGAAGCCAGGAGCCAGGAGCUCUGAGCUGCCAUGGACCUCCCUAGCCGAUGGCCAUGGGCCACUGCCCCAGGGACAGCGUGCACACUCCCAGUCAGGCCCCCACACUCAGCAGCCCCCACACAAGCAGCGCCACGGCCACAGCCCGCCCUAG
rnacentral:lncRNA from 1 species